rnacentral:rRNA from 1 species
UACGAAGGGGGCUAGCGUUGCUCGGAAUCACUGGGCGUAAAGCGCACGUAGGCGGAUCGUUAAGUCGGAGGUGAAAUCCUGGAGCUCAACUCCAGAACUGCCUUCGAUACUGGCGAUCUUGGAGUCCGGGAGAGGUGAGUGGAACUCCGAGUGUAGAGGUGAAAUUCGUAGAUAUUCGGAAGAACACCAGUGGCGAAGGCGGCUCACUGGUCCGGUACUGACGCUGAGGUGCGAAAGCGUGGGGAGCAAACAGG